AACGAACGCUGGCGGCAUGCCUAACACAUGCAAGUCGAACGAAGGCUUCGGCCUUAGUGGCGCACGGGUGCGUAACGCGUGGGAAUCUGCCCCUCGGUUCGGAAUAACAGUUAGAAAUGACUGCUAAUACCGGAUGAUGACGAAAGUCCAAAGAUUUAUCGCCGAGGGAUGAGCCCGCGUAGGAUUAGCUAGUUGGUGGGGUAAAGGCCUACCAAGGCGACGAUCCUUAGCUGGUCUGAGAGGAUGAUCAGCCACACUGGGACUGAGACACGGCCCAGACUCCUACGGGAGGCAGCAGUGGGGAAUAUUGGACAAUGGGCGAAAGCCUGAUCCAGCAAUGCCGCGUGAGUGAUGAAGGCCUUAGGGUUGUAAAGCUCUUUUACCAGGGAUGAUAAUGACAGUACCUGGAGAAUAAGCUCCGGCUAACUCCGUGCCAGCAGCCGCGGUAA
rnacentral:rRNA from 1 species